rnacentral:rRNA from 1 species
UACGUAGGGUGCAAGCGUUGUCCGGAAUUAUUGGGCGUAAAGAGCUCGUAGGCGGUCUGUCGCGUCUGCUGUGAAAACUCGGGGCUUAACCCCGGGCCUGCAGUGGGUACGGGCAGACUAGAGUGCGGUAGGGGAGACUGGAAUUCCUGGUGUAGCGGUGAAAUGCGCAGAUAUCAGGAGGAACACCGGUGGCGAAGGCGGUUCUCUGGGCCGAUACUGACGUGAGGAGCGAAAGCGUGGGUAGCAAACAGG